UACGUAGGGAGCAAGCGUUGUUCGGAUUUACUGGGCGUAAAGGGCGCGUAGGCGGCGCGGUAAGUCACUUGUGAAAUCUCUGAGCUUAACUCAGAACGGCCAAGUGAUACUGCAGUGCUAGAGUGCAGAAGGGGCAAUCGGAAUUCUUGGUGUAGCGGUGAAAUGCGUAGAUAUCAAGAGGAACACCUGAGGUGAAGGCGGCUUGCUGGGCCAGUUCUGACGCUGAGGAGCGAAAGCGUGGGGAGCGAACAGG
rnacentral:rRNA from 1 species